rnacentral:rRNA from 1 species
AUUGAACGCUGGCGGCAGGCCUAACACAUGCAAGUCGAGCGGAUGAAGGGAGCUUGCUCCUGGAUUCAGCGGCGGACGGGUGAGUAAUGCCUAGGAAUCUGCCUGGUAGUGGGGGAUAACGUCCGGAAACGGGCGCUACUACCGCAUACGUCCUGAGGGAGAAAGUGGGGGAUCUUCGGACCUUACGCUAUCAGAUGAGCCUAGGUCGGAUUAGCUAGUUGGUGGGGUAAAGGCCUUCCAAGGCGACGAUCCGUAACUGGUCUGAGAGGAUGAUCAGUCACACUGGAACUGAGACACGGUCAAGACUCCUAAGGUAGGCAGCAGUGGGGAAUAUUAGACAAUGGGGGAAAGCCUGAUCCAGCCAUGCGGCGUGUGUGAAGAAGGUCUUCGGAUUGUAAAGCACUUUAAGUUGGGAGGAAGGGCAGUAAGUUAAUACCUUGCUGUAUUGACGUUACCAACAGAAUAAGCACCGGCUAACUUCGUG